rnacentral:rRNA from 1 species
CAGUAGCCGCGGUAAUACGGAGGGAGCUAGCGUUGUUCGGAAUUACUGGGCGUAAAGCGCGCGUAGGCGGUUACUCAAGUCAGAGGUGAAAGCUCGGGGCUCAACCCCGGAACUGCCUUUGAGACUAGGUGACUAGAAUCUUGGAGAGGUCAGUGGAAUUCCGAGUGUAGAGGUGAAAUUCGUAGAUAUUCGGAAGAACACCAGUGGCGAAGGCGACUGACUGGACAAGUAUUGACGCUGAGGUGCGAAAGCGUGGGGAGCAAACAGGAUUAGAGACCCCCGUAGUCCCUGUCUCUUAUAC